rnacentral:rRNA from 1 species
UACGAAGGGGGCUAGCGUUGCUCGGAAUUACUGGGCGUAAAGGGAGCGUAGGCGGAUAGUUAAGUCAGAGGUGAAAGCCCAGGGCUCAACCUUGGAAUUGCCUUUGAUACUGGCUAUCUUGAGUAUGGGAGAGGUAAGCGGAACUCCGAGUGUAGAGGUGAAAUUCGUAGAUAUUCGGAAGAACACCAGUGGCGAAGGCGGCUUACUGGCCCAUUGACUGACGCUGAAGCUCGAAAGCGUGGGGAGCAAACAGG